CUAGGAUGAACGCUAGCGGCAGGCUUAACACAUGCAAGUCGAGGGGCAUCGGGUGUAGCAAUACAUGCCGGCGACCGGCGAAAGGGUGAGUAACGCGUGAGCAACGUGCCCGUAUGUGGGGGAUAGUCGAUGGAAACGUCGCGUAAUACCCCGUAACACAUGGAACUGCAUGGUUUCAUGUUGAAAGAUUUAUUGCAUACGGAUCGGCUCGCGUGCCAUUAGGUAGACGGCGGGGUAACGGCCCACCGUGCCGACGAUGGCUAGGGGUUCUGAGAGGAAGGUCCCCCACAUUGGAACUGAGACACGGUCCAGACUCCUACGGGAGGCAGCAGUGAGGAAUAUUGGACAAUGGCCGGAAGGCUGAUCCAGCCAUGCCGCGUGCGGGAAGACGGCCCUAUGGGUUGUAAACCGCUUUUGCGGGGGAGCAAUAAGAGUCACGUGUGGCUCGAUGAGAGUACCCUGCGAAUAAGCAUCGGCUAACUCCGUGCCAGCCGCCGC
rnacentral:rRNA from 1 species